UGAAAGGAAAAUACAGAAAAGGGGCGCUGGGAACAACAAUGGAGGCAGCAACGAGAUAUUUUCAGUUUGAAAAAAAAAAAAUACCAAGCCAUACAUAGAUGCAAUUUCACGGAGGUAGCACCUAAAUGAAACAAAUUUUCGUUCCUUGUGAUUACACGUAGCCAACACACUGUGUUUACAGCAGCAUGAUCAAGAAAUUCAUGAGAUCAAUUUUAAUUCUUUCUUUUUAAUUAUUUUUCUCGGGAAUAAUAUUCGGGUUUGUUCACCGGUUGGAUCUCGUUAUUCCAUUUUAUCGCGUUGUUGGAUCCGGGCUUUCUUGGAAGUGAAGUAAGGCAGAAGAAAAUUAUUUCUUGGCACAUGAGAUUGGUGAAGUCCAAGACCUAAGUUAUGGUUAACUUGAGAAGCGACAAGGUACAGACGCACAGUUUGGUGAUCCACCAGUUUAGGACACCCUCUUCUGCUGUUUGGAGUGCUCCUCUUAUUCCGGAGCCUACAUUUUGGUAUAUAUACUUGUUUGAUGCACAUGUAUAUAUAUUUGUUCAGGGGUACGGCGGGGCCCUAUCCCGCCAUAUGAUCCGUUUGGUCUGCUUAGAGGUCUGUAGACGUAUUUGUGGGUGUGUGUGCCUACUUCUGUUCAGAUGUGUUUGUAUGAUCCUAUUCGCUAUGGCAGCCUUGUCGGCGUGCAUUUUGUAUAUGUUUUGGGGCCGUUGUGCCAUUUGUUA